CUGCCGGCCUACGAUCGAGUUUGUGAGUCUUGUGACGUGCGUGUGCGCGUCCGUGCGUGUGUGUACGUGACUACGUGAGUGUGCGUGCGGGCGCGUGCGCGGCAGGCCCGGGGGCGAAUGACGGGCGGCGCGCGAUGCCAAAACUUUACCGUACCGUGUGUGCGUGUGUGAGAGUUUUUUCGUUAUUAUUUUUUUACUAUUAUUAUUAUUAUUCCGUAGUCUGCGGACACGACGUGCGCGACGGUAGAGCGGCGCUCUCUGGUGUUAGCGUGCGGUGAGCAACGCAGGGAAGAUACUUACAGAGAAAAAACACAAGAUUAUAAAAUCCGUCGUACGGUGUUUGCUCAGCUCAAAAUCAAAAAUGAAGUUAAUAAAUACUUGUAAUUUAUAGAAUAAGGUUUUCAAUGUUUGCAUGAAGGAGUGCAGAAACAUGUUUAGUGAACUCCAAUAUUUUGGCAAGAGGAUAAAGUAAACUACAGCCUCAUAUUCUUUUAUACCAAUAUGGUAUUAUCAAGAUCAAAUUUGUUAUUAGAGCAGUUUUAAACUUUAGUUUUAAAAUAUUUAAUAUAUUUUAAUUUAUGCCAUAAGAAAUAUCCAAACCUUCCAACCAUCUUCUGAGAGAUCGUACGUCGGGCAAGCAAAGGAAACUCUUCAUGAAAUGAUAGGCAACAUGUGAAUGAAAUCUUUGAGAUCUGAGGGUUCAUGGCCAAGUGGAUCACACCGCCAACUACAGGGGCUGCCCUACCUUCAUAAGUGCUCAAAAAACCCAAGACUUUUCAAGGCUUCUACAACCAAAGUCCCGGCGCCAAAUCCUCAUUCCAGACCAAAAUCAUACGCUGAAGCUACCCGGACCAAAGAUUUUUCCACAGAUAAUUUCCCCGUCCUAUUAUCUAACUUUAUAACUAACCUCAACUCUCUAAUCAGUCCUCUAAUUACUCUCCUCUCUUCAGUCCUACACUCAUUAAUUCCCAAAACCUCCUUAUCUUCAUAGCUAUUUCUGUAAAAAUUUUUUCUUAUCUAACAUAACAGUAAUGUCAUUUAUUCUAUGUCUAAAUUGUAUGUUUCUAACAAACUUAAUUGCUUUUUUAUCUCUAUUGUAUUGGCUACGGCGUACGCCGUGCCGAAUCCUUACAAGACUCUUAAUCGGUGUUACUAUAUAUAUAUAUAAUGUACAAUGUUUAAUCUAUAAUUUAUAUAAUAUUACGUAUAAUUGUUGAGCUGUAAUAGUAUUUGACUAAAAGCUAAUAAAAAAAAAAAAAAAAUAAUAUGUAAUCACUAAACUAAAUAUUCAUCAUAUGUUUUGUUAUACUGUACACUAUAAUAUAAUAUUACUAUUGUAAAUGGAUUUAUUCUGUAAAUAAAAAUAAUAAAUAAAAAAAUAUAAUUAAAAUGAGUUAUACUUUUAAAAAUAAUCGAUAAAUUAACGACUGAAACGACUGAAGAUCCAAUUGAAGAAAAAGAAACAUUCUAUGAAAAAAUACUAAAAUUUGCAACGGUUACCAAUAUAUUUAUAUUAGCUUAUAAGGUAUAUAGGUACCAUAA